AUUGAACGCUGGCGGCAGGCCUAACACAUGCAAGUCGAGCGAGCGGCGGACGGGUGAGUAAUGUCUGGGAAACUGCCUGAUGGAGGGGGAUAACUACUGGAUACGGUAGCUAAUACCGCAUACCAUCAGAUGUGUCCAGGUGGGAUUAGCUAGUCGGUUGGGUAACGGCUCAACUAGGCGACGAUCCCUACCUGAUCUGAGAGGAUGACCAGCCAGACUGGAACUGAGACACGGUCCAGACUCCUACGGGAGGCAGCAGUGGGGAAUAUUGCACAAUGGGCGCAAGCCUGAUGCAGCAAUGCCGCGGGUGUGAAGAAGGCCUUCGGGUUGUAAAGCACUGUCGGCGGGGAGGCGGUACCCGAAGAAGAAGCACCGGCUAACUCCGUGCCAGCAGCCGCGGUAAUAG
rnacentral:rRNA from 1 species